AAACUUUUCACUAGGUUUAGAUUUGUUUGUUUUGCCAUCUUGAUGGUAAAUUGUAUUAGUUUUAGAUUCUGUAUUGUAUUGAUUUCUUCUUGUGCUUAUUGACGGUCUUGUGCUGGUUAAGAUUAAUCCACACCAGUACAUAACUUUAUCAUAAGCUAAAUUUAGUGCCGCCUUGUCUUUUCAAGUUUUCUCCUUUUGUAUGUAAGGAAUCACUUUUAUACUUGGUGGCAUAAAUCUUCAAACAUCUUGUAAAUUGUUCAUAGUUUGGUUUACAGUAAUCUUAAAGUUGAUGGAGUUGUUUCAGCCAUUUUCCUUCAGCAUCUAAUUUAUAUCUCUUUGGUUGUUUAGA
rnacentral:sRNA from 1 species